rnacentral:rRNA from 1 species
UACGAAGGGGGCUAGCGUUGUUCGGAUUUACUGGGCGUAAAGCGCAUGUAGGCGGGUCGUUAAGUCGGGGGUGAAAGCCCGGGGCUCAACUCCGGAACUGCCUUCGAUACUGGGGACCUUGAGCAAGGCAGAGGCGAGUGGAAUUGCGAGUGUAGAGGUGAAAUUCGUAGAUAUUCGCAAGAACACCAGUGGCGAAGGCGGCUCACUGGCCCGUUACUGACGCUGAGGUGCGAAAGCGUGGGGAGCAAACAGG